rnacentral:rRNA from 1 species
CAAUAGCGUAUAUUAACGUUGUUGCAGUUAAAAAGCUCGUAGUUGGAUUUCUGGAGGGAGCGUCGGCCCGUAUUUACGAGUGCGUGACGUCUCUGUCCAUCCUUGCGGGAAGGCACGGCAUUGAUUUGUUGUGUCGGAUCGCAUCAUUUACUGUGAAAAAAUUAGAGUGUUCAAAGCAGGCUUUCGCUUGAAUACAUUAGCAUGGAAUAAUAAGAUAGGACUUUGGUGCUAUUUUGUUGGUUGAGCCUAAAGUAAUGAUUAACAGGGAUAGUUGGGGGCACCUGUAUUGCGUUGUCAGAGGUGAAAUUCUUGGAUUUACGCAAGACAAACAGCUGCGAAAGCGUCUGCCAAGGAUGUUUUCAUUAA